GAUGGCGCCCCCACAUCAGGAAGUGAUUCCAAGUCGCUCUCUCUGGGCAUUGUCCAAGUCUCCAUUAUUCAGGUGGGGGCAGCGCGAGGCAGGAUUGUCGGAAGCAGCAGUGGGUCUUCCCAGCCUGCUCCCUCAGCCUGGCUCAGAACCUGCUGCCACCAUUUGAACAAGUCCAAGCUGGCCCGAUGGAUGAAGAGACAUACGAUCCAGUUACCCCAUCACCCCAGUGAACUGCAAGCCAACCACCAAACACGAGGGUGAGGCCCUCCUAAGCCAGCCUCCAACCACUGACUGCAGACACCGACAAGAGUCCAACUGAGGUAUUUCAUGGAAGUGAAAUCAUACAAUAUUUGUCCUUUUGUGUCUGGGUUAUUUCACUAAAUGUGAUCAAGGUUCAUCCACGAUGUAGCAUGAGAAGGUAAGUGUUUUUAAGUGCUUGCUGCCAAGGAGGUUUCCCUCACUCUCACACGGUUUUAAAUUGCCGAUUAAGAGAUCUGAGAACUGCAAUUUCCUUUCUCCAAUGAAUCAGUGACACUUAGCAAUAGCCACCAGAUUUCAUCAUUUUAAUAGCUAUUUCCCUCUCCCUCUCAGUUGGCAGAGACAGUGCCCAAGCCGCUCAUCCCCUCUACCGCCUCCCAUCCUCGUUCACCCCAAGUGACAGUCGUAGCAGGUGCCCUGCCUCCCUCUGCCACCAGUGAUGAGUCCUUGAUGCUAUCUGGCCUGUGACCCACCUCCAGCCAAGCCUCAGAGUCUACCCCCAGGAGUCCUCCCAGCAUCCUGUGUCCUAGGUGGGUCCCCUGGAAGCAGAGUCCCUGGAUUCAUCGAGGGAGAGCUCUCAGGAGCAGCCCAUAUGGGAGGGAGUGAAGCAGGAUUGGGAAGGGGCGAGGGGCGAGGGGUGCAGCCAGCAGCAGCCUCAGGUGAGAUCUGGCCCUGACCUGACAGAAGAAGGCUCUGGGUGCAUUAACCACACUGCAGGGUCUCUUCCCCUACUCCACCCCACCACAGAGAGGCUGCCGCUUUAUCCCGUUUGGCAAUCAGUCUGUGGCUUUAACUGCCUGGCAGGGGCGUGUGUUGUUGGGGUGGGGGUGGUGUUUGGUAACCUCCCCGAGAGGAGGCUCUUGCCCGAUGAGGGCAGUUCUCUGGUGAAGGUGGGAAGUUGUGAGCCGUUAGCAGCUUUGGGAUGGGUGUGCCGUCUGGCCAAGGAGAUCUCAAUGGAGCACCACUAGGCCCCAAUUACUACAGGAACCAGUGAAGAAGACAAAGAAGGCACAGCCAGAGGGAUUCAAGAACUGGAGAACCUGAAGAACGAGUUGUCACGGAAUCCGAGAGAAGGGAGAGUUUCAAGGAAGAAACAGCAAACUGUCAAAUGCAGCCACGACGUCCAGUCUCAGGAUUCAGCAUGGACUUUAGCAACCAAGGGGUUGCUGGUGACCUUGCAAGAGAAGCUGUGGAGAACUGACGGGGCAAGAGCCAAUCCACAGGGGUUGGAAGACAAGAGGGGAACUGGACAGUGAGCCUGGGAAGGUUCUGGGACAGAGAAGUCUGCGUGAGAAGGAGCGGAGAGAGGCCGGACGACAAAUGUGGGGCAGGGGAUGCAGGUUGAGUUAGACCCUGUUCCAGUUUGCUAAUGCUGCCGUUAUGCAAAAUACCAGAAAUGAAUUGGCUUUUAUAAAGGGGGUUUAUUUGGUUACAAAGAUACAGUCUGAAGUCCAUGAAA